CAGAAUCGAAGGCGUCAGACUCUCAUCUUCUCACUUUCCAUGGAGGCUAGAAGUCAUGGCAAGAGAUUGAUGAAGAUCAGGGUUGAGACUCACGAAAAUAAGAGAGAAGGCUCAUGACCCUGUAAGAAGCAAGGCUGGAAACUUGCAUUGACUAUGGAAGAGAUACAAGAGAAUGAUGAAACAUCCCCAAAUCUCCACUUCUCUUCUCUCAUUCAGAAGAUGAAGAUCAAGGAGGAAACAGAUGGAGCAAAAUGAAAAUCAUCUGACUCUCUUCUUCCCAUUUUCCCUGAAUUAUCCAUUGCAAAGAAAUCUUGAAGAUUAGGCAGGAGUCUCAUGGAAUUAAUAGAUUUGUCCCAGUGAAUAUUAUAGAAGAUCCUUGCCGCAACUCUCCUUUUCUCCUCUUCUCUUUGGAGGUUGGAGAUCAGGUAGGAGACACGUAAAACAUAAAGGCAUGCAAUCAGUUUUUGUGAAUCCAGAGUCUAGAGACUUAACAGGAAAUUCAUGGAGAUUAGGAAGGUGAAGAAAAGGGCAUUCUGGAAGGCACCCAUAUCUUCUCUUCUACCUUCUACUGGCAACUGGAGACCUGGAAGGAGACCAGAAGGUGAAUAUCAGUGAAAAGAUAUUUGGGGCAUAGUGGAAGGCACCAGAUUUUGUUCUUUCCACUUUCCUGCAAGGAGACCAUGUGUGAAACUUUUUAACCACAUGGCUGAUACAUCUGCUCUUCAAUCCUGAACCUGGAGACUUUUGAAGAUUUUCCCAAAGAUGAAGAUGGAGAAGCCAAGUGCAUAAUAGAAGGCCCCCCAGCUCUUCUCUGGAGAGACUAGGGAGCUGGCAGGAUACAAGAGAUCAGGUAGGAACCAGGCAAAGCACAAGAAAAAGCAAUUUCUUAUACUUGUGGAUCCAGAGUCUAGUUACUAUACAGAAAAUCCAUGGAGAUGAGGAUGGAGAGGCAAAGUGCAUGAUGGAAGGUGCUGAAAGUCCAGGUGGAAAUAGAUGGUGCAAAGGCACCAGAAGGCACCAGACUCUCUUCAUCCCAUUUUCCAUGGAGGCUAGAGUUAUAGCAGGAGACCUAUGAAGAUCAGACAGGAGAUGCAUGAAAAUCAGAGAAGAGUCCCAGAGAACAUGAGGGAAUGAACCUGACUCAACUCUUUCCUUCUCUCUUCCCUUUGGAGGCUAGCAAUUAGGUAAGAGCCAGUCAAGGUAUAAGAGAAAGCAAUCACUUAUUAUUGUGGAUCCAGUUUGUAGAGUUGGAAGGAAACACAUGGAGACGAUGCAUGAUAGAAGACAUCUACCUUUUUGUCUUCUCUCUCCUAUUGACAAAU